GAUGAACGCUGGCGGCGUGCCUAAUACAUGCAAGUCGAGCGAACAGACGAGGAGCUUGCUCCUCUGACGUUAGCGGCGGACGGGUGAGUAACACGUGGAUAACCUACCUAUAAGACUGGGAUAACUUCGGGAAACCGGAGCUAAUACCGGAUAAUAUAUUGAACCGCAUGGUUCAAUAGUGAAAGACGGUUUUGCUGUCACUUAUAGAUGGAUCCGCGCCGCAUUAGCUAGUUGGUAAGGUAACGGCUUACCAAGGCAACGAUGCGUAGCCGACCUGAGAGGGUGAUCGGCCACACUGGAACUGAGACACGGUCCAGACUCCUACGGGAGGCAGCAGUAGGGAAUCUUCCGCAAUGGGCGAGAGCCUGACGGAGCAACGCCGCGUGAGUGAUGAAGGUCUUCGGAUCGUAAAACUCUGUUACUAGGGAAGAACAAAUGUGUAAGUAACUAUGCACGUCUUGACGGUACCUAAUCAGAAAGCCACGGCUAACUACGUG
rnacentral:rRNA from 1 species